AACGAACGCUGGCGGCAGGCUUAACACAUGCAAGUCGAACGCCCCGCAAGGGGAGUGGCAGACGGGUGAGUAACGCGUGGGAAUCUACCCAGUUCUACGGAACAACUGAGGGAAACUUCAGCUAAUACCGUAUACGCCCUACGGGGGAAAGAUUUAUCGGAAUUGGAUGAGCCCGCGUUGGAUUAGCUGGUUGGUGGGGUAAUGGCCUACCAAGGCGACGAUCCAUAGCUGGUCUGAGAGGAUGAUCAGCCACACUGGGACUGAGACACGGCCCAGACUCCUACGGGAGGCAGCAGUGGGGAAUAUUGGACAAUGGGCGAAAGCCUGAUCCAGCCAUGCCGCGUGAGUGAUGAAGGCCCUAGGGUUGUAAAGCUCUUUCAGUGGGGAAGAUAAUGACGGUACCCACAGAAGAAGCCCCGGCUAACUUCGUGCCAGCCGCCGCAGUAAGAC
rnacentral:rRNA from 1 species